UAGCCAGUUACGAUAAUUACUAUAUUAAUUUACAAGAUUAUAGUAACUCCUUACUAAGUGGUUUACUAUAACAUUACGGUAAAUAUCCCCAUAUGUUAUAGUAACACAAUUAUCGUAAAUAUGUAUACAUAUUAUCGUAAAUUAGUAUAUAAAAUUAUCGUAAAUGGUGGUGGCUA
rnacentral:pre_miRNA from 1 species